rnacentral:lncRNA from 1 species
UAAUAUAUCGGCCCUUGAGACAAAUCGUACCAGAGGAGAGAGAGUUAGACUUGGAUCAAGACGAGAAAGAAUACCAUUUUAAAAGGAUCGAAGACCAUCAUUAACGCAGGGGUUAAUGACGCCUCUUAAGGCAAAAUUUUACAAAAAAUAAUAAAAAAAAAAAAGAAAAGCAUAGACUCGCUUCUUCCGUAAGGCGUAGAAGGCCC